AAGGCAGCCCGGGAACAAAAUUGUUUGGGUGGCAACUAUACCGAACACCACAAAGAACAGUUGCUGUGGGGAGAUGUAUUGCUCCGGACCUUGAGAGGAAAAGGAUAUGCAGCGGUGGUCGUAAUGGACUUCUUAGGCUUUGAAACCUACCGUAAACAUUUAAGUUCCUGGUGCGUUUGUAUAUUUAAGAUGAAUAUUGAAUGUCACAAGUCAAUUUUUUUCUUUUAAAAAAUAAUCAAUUUUUGGCAAUAUAUUUUACAUGUUGUAGCCACCUAUGUAAAAUCUGAGUUGUCAAAAUGAUGUGUUAAGCUAAAUACAAAACGAAUAGAAGAGUGGGUGAUUUAUUGUUGCCCCAUUUGUGUA